ensembl:lncRNA
GCUGGCAAGGAUGGGAUGUUGGGACGCUGCUGCUGGCAGCUGGGUCGCUUCUUACCAACACUCCCCUCCAUUCUGCAGCCGGACCGUUCCCCAGCACGGCUCCAACCCGAGCAUCGGAACCACUGCGCACCUCUCCCACCCAGAUCCUUCCUGUUACAGCAUCCCUCCUCACCCCCCCCCCCCCCUCCUCCUUUCCCCCCCCCAUGGAUCCUUCCAAGCAAAGCUUCCCGGAUCAUCUGGAUUCCUGCAGCUCUCAGCUGCCAGGAGCCCGGAGGGAGGGAGGGAGCAGCACGCAGCCUGGGAGGCAGCUGGGAUGAGAGACGCACGACGUAUAUAUUUUCCAUUUUCUCAUCUGAAUUACGAGCUCCAAUAAAUAAGGCUGGAAAUCUCACGCAGCGCCGACCUCCUCCCAGGUAUCCCACGCUCGGAGCCAGCGGAGGUGGCAGCAGGUCUGUCACUUUGCAGCGGGGCCGCUGUAAUUAUGCUGUGGGAAGCAGAGCUCACUUCGCCGAACCCUGAGCGGAUUAAGGAUCCUCCGUGCCUUUUCCCACCCCUCUCUGCCAGGGAAGGAGACGCCUGGAGGAGCUCUGAGGGGGUGAAGCAGCCUGCAGGAGAUCUGCUGCCUUCUCCCCGCUGGUGCUCCCCUCCAGCUCCUUCUGGAUGCAUGGCACGGGCUCUGCUUGCUGCUAGAUCACCCCUUCCCAUCAACACGUCUGCAACACCGGGACCUUCUCCUUCAGAGCUCACCCUGAGCUGCUGCAUGCAGGGUGCUCCCCAGCACACGGGGAGGUCUGUGCAAGGCAGCAGCUUCCAGCCCGAGCUGCCGUUGUGCUCUGUGUGCAGCAGGGAGGUGUAUCAUUAAUCUAUUAAUUAUUCACACUGCGCCAGACGGGCGCGCGGAAGAUCAGACGGGGAUUGCUGGCUCCCAGCGAGCUCCUCGACUCUCCUUAUGUCAAGAAUUGCUCUUCAGUCACAGGCACGUUGUCACCGGCCACCUGCAUGUGACAGGACAAUCUUUGUUAAAAUCCCAAUUAGCAGAUAAUAAGGGCGGCACGAAACCACAUUCUCCCAAGCCAGAUUGGCACCCGCCCUCCUAUUUUUUUUCCUUUCUCUUUAUUUUUUGUCCUUUCCCUUUCUAAAAUGGAUGUUUCUCGCCAAGACUUCAGGGCAAGAGGCAGCUCAGGUGAGUGGAGGAGGGAUGGAGCAGAAGGGUAAAGGAUGAUGGAGGGAACCCAUGCAUAGAAUCAUAGCAUUGUAGAAUCAUAGAGACGUAGUAUCAUAGAAUCUUAGUCAUAGAAUCAUAGAGCCAUAGAAUCAUAGAGCCAUAGAGUCAUAGAGUCAUAGAGUCAUAGAGCCAUAGAAUCAUAGAGUGAUAGAGUCAUAGAGCCAUAGAAUCAUGGAACCAUAGAGUGGUAGAGUCAUAGAGCCAUGGAAUAAUAGAGUGGUAGAGUCAUAGAGCCAUAGAAUCACAGAACUAUAGAACUGUAGAAUCACAGAAUUAUAGGAUCACUGUAUAAUAGUCAUGGAAUAAUAGACUCAAAGAACCAUAGCAUCAUUGAAUGGUUGGGUUGGAGGGACCUUUAAAGAUGAUCAAGUUCCAGCCUCACCAUGGGGUCUGUCCCCACUCUGAUCUCACAGUGAUGGGUCACUGGAGGGCCCUCAGCAGUCUCUCUUUCAUCACUUGCUUGUAGUCGCCAUUAAGUGUUAAUGCAGGGUGAUGAAGGAUGAGAGGAUUUAACAGGCCUGACAGCUGCUUUUGGCUCUUUCAUCCAGGCUUUCAGUAGGAACAACUGGAGAAAGCUAGAGGAGCUCAUGGUCUACCUGGUGCAAGGCAUGGAGAGAAGAAGCUACAGAAAGAGGUGUGACAUUCCCUUUGCAAGGCUUAGGGGAGCAAGUAUUGGGCUCGAUGGUCUUUCCAACCUAGGAACCGUGAUCCCAUGAGAUACAGAGUCCCCAACCCUGGAGGUGUUCCAGAACCAUGGGGAUGUGGCACUGAAGGAUGUGAUCAGUGGGCAUGGCGGGGUGGGUUCGGGUUGGAUGCGGUGAUCCUAGAGGUGUUUCCAGCCUUAAUGAUUCUGUGGUUCUAAGCACUGUGCGAGCAGUGUGCCACGUUGGGUGUCCUGUCCCUUCCACCCAACUAAGACCACUCUGUUUGCCAUUUUCUCAUCAUUGUGGGCACUGCGUUGACUCAUCUGCUUAUUUUUAACUGGGGCAGAUCUUACGGAAGGAGCAAAAUGACUCCAAGUCUGAGUGACAGUGGCGGGGGAUGGAGUCCCAACGUUAAUCUUCCCCAUGCAGGUCUGAAGAAGUGGAAGCCUCCACUGAAUGCCACGUCGUCCCAUGGCCCCCUUGUAAACAAGGUGGGCUUCUUCAAAACAUUUAUUUCAGGUAUCAAACUGAAUGUUCCAUCUCUUGAGGGAUUCGAUUCUCUCUUUCCAGGCAGGGCUCCCAGUGCCUCAGCACAAGGCUUUAAAGGCAUUGCUCCACUCUUUUGGAUUAGUGACCCAUUCUAACAGGUCCUCAUUGACCGCCAUCGCGGGUCUCUCAAAGAGUCCAUUGGGCGCAGCUUACAAAGGAGCUGAGCCGGAGAUGAAGAGUUUACAAAAAGUUUGUAGGAAACCGUGGAGUCCUUUUAAAAGAGAAUAAACUGCCACUGCUGUGUCUGGGCUGAGUUAAUCUGAUUAGGCCAAGCUCAUCAACAGCCCCGCUGAAAGGAGCGCGGGGGGAACGCGGGCUGGGGCGGCCCUGGAGAGAAACCGGGGACCUUUUUAGCAUGGAAGUCAAACAAAACCCAUUGUGGCAGAGCGUGCUUGCCUACAGAUGGCAAAAUGACACAUCUUUGCAAAGGCAAAGCAAAUAUCCUUGAUGGUUUUUCUCUGUUUUGUUUUGUUUUUUUCUGGUUUUCUUCUCAGGUAUGGGAGCAGACACUGAAUGAGAUUAGCAGAUGCCAAAGGGAACGGGGCUGUGAAGCACUGCAGAUAGGUGUCCUGGUUGCUUGGGUGGGAUAGGUUGAUGAAGUUCACCUUCUCUAUGUAAAAUAUGGAGGGAUAGGAAGCCCUCAUACCUAGCAUUUCUUCUCCUCUGUCCCUUGGGAAUUGCACAGAUAUCUACAUGGGGAGCAAUGCAGACCCCGUGUCCACCAAGGGACAUGGUGGUGGUGGGUUGGUGAUCCUAGUGGCCAUUCCCAUCCUUAACAAUCUGACAACUCUAUGAUUCCAUGCUCCAUCAUCACCCACUUUGGGCCAUCCCUCAGUGGAUGACCAGGCAAUGCACCACCAAGGCUUUGCAGCAGCCUACAUGCAAACCCAACCACUUCAUCUGCUCGUGGCCAUAGCACCUUCAUCCCUAAGAAGCAGUGAUGCACAGCAAGUCAAUGCACUUGGACAAUGUGCUUGCAUGAUGCCCUUGUCUGAUGCACUAGCAAGAAGCAAUUGCACCAUGCUCUUGUACGAUGCAUCAGCAUGAUGUACUUGUAUGUUGCGCCUCCACAAUGCACUUGUAUGACGCAUUACUAUGGUGCACUUGCACGGUGCAGCCAAGGAAACACUGCCUACCAGGUCCUCUCUCCUUCCCCUUUUCCCCAGGCUUCAGCACGUCAAUCCUGCAGUUUUGACCUUGGUAAGCACUGCAGCACUUGAGCAAACACCUGAACAAGCCUUUGGCCCCCACGGCAUCCCAAAGAGGCUGUGCAGGGCCAGACAGCACUGACUGUGGGCAAAAGAAAACCCCUAAUUAAACGUCCCGUCGGGAAGUGACAUCCCCACCACUGCUCUGUAUUAGAGGAGCCAGGGCCGUGCUUGGAUUUACCAUAGGCAGCUCCUUAGCCAAUAUAAUUAAGAACAGUAUCAGUGGAAGGCAUGUAAGGAGAUUUUCUCCCCGAGGCCACCUAAUACAGAUGUAAUUGACUCUAUUUUCUGCUUUCUGCACAUGGAUUGCCGCAACUCAGCCCCUAUUAUCCGCCAACAAAUGAACAGGAUCUGCUGAAAGGACCUCUCCAGCCAGGGCCAGGCACAGAGAAUGGAGCACUGGGCUGUGUUAAAUCCGGACACAACGCGUUCCUUCCCUCCCUUUUCAUCUCCGCCGCCUUUUCAAGAUGUUUUCCAUGCGGGAUAAGUCAGCAGAUCUGGGCUUGGGCAAAGCGUUGGCACUCGGGGAAGAAGGGAACAUCUGUCCCAAUCAGCUGUGCUAUUCUGUGCCGCCCGACAAAACCGGGCGAUGCCUUCGAGAGGGGCUUUGUGAGCACGGCUGCAAUUUCCUUUCGCUGCGAUUUCGAAGGGCGGGGAAGGAGGAAGGGAGGUGAGAAAAGAAAUUAAAGCCCAUUGGCUUUGUGGUGAAAGAGGCCCCGAAAAAAUCUCCAUUUCUAACGCUGCAAAAUCCCCACCGCGUUCCCACAGCCAUCCCCCAAAAGGAUGUCCUCAGCAGCAGAGGCGCAAAGAAGAAUAGUUUAUUAGUGUAGAAAGCAAUUUGCUUAGCAAUACCCUUGCUUACAGCUGAAGGAGCCCCAGUGCUUCCUUGGAGCAAGAGAUGCUCUGAGCAUCCCAAUGGUGCACAUGGGAUGCAAUGGUGCACUGGUGCAAGGGUUGCGUCCCAGUGGUGCACAUGGGAUGCAGCUGUAUAAUGGUGCACAUGGGAUGCAGUGGUGCAAUGGUGAAAGGGAUGCAUCCCAAUAGUGCACAAGGGAUGCAGUGGUGCAAUGGUGCAAGGGAUGUGUCCCAGUGGUGCACAUGGGAUGCAGUUGUAUAAUGGUGCACAUGGGAUGCAAUGGUGCAGUGGUGUAAGGGAUGCAUCCCAAUAGCACAGAAGGGAUGCAAUGGUGCAGUGGUGCAAGGGAUGCAUUCCAAUGGUGCACAUGGGAUGUGGUGAUGCAAUGGUGUAAAGGAUGCAUCUCAACGGUGCCCUUGGGAUGCAAUGGUGCAAUGGUGCAAGGGAAACAUCCCAGUGGUGCACAUGGGAUGCAAUGGUGCAAUGGUGUGAGGGACACAUCCCAGUGGUACAUAUGGGAUGAAGUGAUGCAGUGGUGUAAGGGAUGCAUCCCAAUGGUGCACAUGGAAUGCAAUGGUGCAGAGGUUUUCCCACUCCACUUUUGGGAGCAUUGGGCUGUCUGACCCUGGCAAUUAAUGGCGGCUGAUUAGAGCACUGAGCUCCAGAGGGAAGACUUGUCCUGUGCUGCUCCCCAUGCAACCUGCCAGCCCUGAUGUCUUCACUCCCUUCCACCAUCCCCUCAUGGAACACACCCCCAGUACAGUGCAUGGCAAGGGAUGAGCACAGGGGACAAGGUGGGGGAAAUCUGGGGGGUGACAGCCUGUCCACACACAAACAGCAGCCAAGGGGCCCAGCUGCCAGCCCUGCACAGCCCCAACAAACCCCCACGCAGCCCCCACCAUUCUGGGCUGUUUCUCAGCUCUCCCCCCUCCCCCCCCCCCCCGCCCCGAGCUGCAAGGCUUUUGAGAGGGGCUCCCAGGUUUUCAGAGCUGGGCUGCAAUCAAGUUGGGUUUAGGGAUCAAAGUGCACGUAUCCGAGGGAGCGGUUGGUCCUCCUCUGUUCUCUGAUCAAACACAAAUAUUGGGAUUAAAUCCCGCCUCGUGAGGCAGCACUCGAGGUGCAAAGAGCCCUUAAGGUGGCUUCGUGGGGGGGGGGUUCUCAGAGUGCAAAGCCCAUUGCAACACCAGCAGUGCCAGCUGGUGCAGGACGGUGUGAGCGUGCAGUGAUAUGGGGAGCACAAGGGGGGAGUUUGUUGCAGCAAGCUGAAAGCAAAGCAUGGGGUGACAGCGGGCAUCGUGUUCUGUGCUGUGUGCUGGGUUAUGUUUGGUUAAAAGGCGGUUUGUGAAGCAGUGCAGGUUGUGGCGAUGCCUUUGGAGAGUAAAGGGGGUGGUGUGAGAGGAGAGUAGGAAUUGCUAUGGGGUUGGUGAAGGGAAUGAGAAAGCAUGGGGGGAAGGGAGGAAGAAGAAAAGAAAGAAUAAGGAGAAAAGAAAAAGAAGUGAAAAAAAGAAAAUGAGAAGAAGAAAAGAAAAAAAAGAGGAAAAAGGAAGGAAAGGGAAAAAAGAAAAGGAAAUGAAGAAGGAAACAGGGAAAAAUGAGGGGAAAAUGAGGAGAAAAGGAGAAGAAAAGAAGAAAAAAAUGGAGAAAAAUGGAGAAAAAUGAGGGGAAAAUGGAGGAAAAUGGAGCAAAAAAUGGAGCAAAAAUUGGAGCAAAAAUGGAGAAAAUAGAGGAAAAAAAGGAGAAGAAAAGGAGGAAAAAGGAGGAAAAAGGUGAAAAAGGAGAAAAAAGAGAAAAAAGAGAAAAAAAGCAGAAAAAAGCAGAGAAAAGGAGAAAAAUAGGAGAAAAAUAGGAGAAAAAAGGAGAAAAAUGGAAAAGAAAAGAAGAAGAAAAGAAGAAAACAGAAGAGGAAAGAAGAAAAAGAAAAAAGAAAUAAAAAAAAAGAAGAAAAAAGGAAAACGGAUGAAAAGAAGAAAAAGGAGGGGGAAAAGAGACGAAGAGAAGAAGAAAAAAGCAAAAAGAAUAAGGAAAAAAAGAAAGAAGAAAAAAGAAAGGCGAGGAAAAGAAGAAAAAACGAAGGGGAAAAAAAGAAAAAGAAAACCGGGAAACAAAAAAACAAAAAAGAAAAGAAAGAAAUCGCCUUCAAAAUAACAACAAACAACAAAAAAGAACAGCGUUGAUUUCAGAAGCGCAGCUCCGAGCGCUGCCCGCUCCCUCAGCGCCCGCACACGCACGCGCUCUGCGCACCGCCGCGCGCUCCCAUCCCCCCCUCCCG